UUCAUUAUGUAAAUUUGGUUUGACUUACAUACAAAAUACCCAAAAAUAGUUUUCAAAAAGUAACUCCAAAUCGGCAACCGAAACCUUUCUAUCCAUUGUCAGUGAGAGUGGAACCCAAAGUUCCAUUGGAAAGAUGCCAGUGGCAGUGCGUCUUGUGGAGGCUUUGACCCUAAUCACCAUUAUGGGUCUGAUCACCUGCAUUGGUCUAAGUGUGAUCCUGGCUCAAAAAACCCUCAGUAUAACAAUAACAUUUCUGGAGCCCGCAGCGAAUAUAGCCAAUAUGGCACUGAUGUUGACCGAGAAAGUGCUGGUGUCUUCUCUGCUCUGUGUUUUGGGUCUGACCAAUGUGGUGGGAAAUGCCCUUCAAGCGGCUGGAAUCGCCUAAAAAUCGCUCUCCUUGGAUGCUUUAGUUCACCUCCACUAACUUCGGUUUUCUGAUCAAUGUUGGACUGUUUUUUUUGGGCGGGGGUCGAUGGCAAACUCAAACGCGGCACCGCUCACUAAUAUUCAAUCAAACAAUUUUACGCCCCAAUAAACUUUUCUAACCUGCGGCUGGUCAAAACAAGAGCGAAAAAUACAAAAAUAAAGUAAAGCAGAACUCUGCUCAAUUGCAGCAAAUUUGUGCCUGGCCAAAACGAAAUUGUGGAAUGAGACGCGCAACGAGAAAAAUAAAUAUUUUUACCACAAAAGCCAAUUUGGCCGUACAAAUUUAAACUGCGCUCGAGGAUGAAUAUAAUUUUUGGAGCCUUUUUAAUACACUUCAAUAGGGUGCUUCAACCCAGAG